UACGGAGGAUCCAAGCGUUAUCCGGAUUUAUUGGGUUUAAAGGGUGCGUAGGCGGCUUUUUAAGUCAGGGGUGAAAGACGGUAGCUCAACUAUCGCAGUGCCCUUGAUACUGAAGAGCUUGAAUACACUAGAGGUAGGCGGAAUGUGACAAGUAGCGGUGAAAUGCAUAGAUAUGUCACAGAACACCAAUUGCGAAGGCAGCUUACUAUGGUGAGAUUGACGCUGAGGCACGAAAGCGUGGGGAUCAAACAGG
rnacentral:rRNA from 1 species